GGGGUCGACUGGUUUUGACAGGUUGUUAUUUUGCAAGUAUAAGCAUGCAGGCUCAUGGGAUGAGAGCCUUAAAAGAUAGUUCCAAAAUUCAGUUGGCAAUUCUUUUGCUAUGGCUGCCUAGUCUCCCUUAGGGUUGUAGACACAUGGGCUUAAAUGGAAGUGACCUAACGGCGUUUCCGAGCUACAUCGUCCUCCGCCUUGAUCUUUGGGCAGAGAUUUGACGGUGCCGAAAUCAUAGAUCUAGUCUGAUAUCUACUGUGGGUUGAUGAUGAAGCUUAAGCAGAUAAGGAUAUAUCUUGGUUGUUUCCGGCGGGGUAUAUUUCGAAAAUUUAAGUGAAACUAAGCAUGUAGAAGGCUUGACAGAGUACUUCUCUGGACGAGGGUUCGACUCCCUCCGACUCCACUA
rnacentral:tmRNA from 1 species